ensembl:ncRNA lncRNA:CR44819 long non-coding RNA:CR44819
UGGGGCAGGCGGGGAGUUGCAGUUGCAGACUGCCGGAGCCGCCCCAAGUUGAUUUUAAUUAAAUUAGAGAGAACGCAACACAUGUCAACGAUAUGGACAAGUGCAGCACGGAAAGGGUUAGGUCGCCAUGCAGCUCCGGGGCAUUUAGCUUGACGAACUCCUCUCCUAGACACCAUUUAAAAGACUCGCACUUCAACGAACUUUCUGUUGAGGAACCCAAUCGGUUGGAUGGAUGACAAGUGCAGUACAAAUGUGACUUCAGUUGACUCUAGCUGCGGCUCAUCAGCACCUCGUCGAUGCCAUCUGGUGCCUCUCCAGCCGACUGGAUGCAAUCCAUUCCGUCAACGCCACGGGUAUCUGCAUCUGAGUGUGUAUCUGCGGGCCAGGCGACACGGCCUUUAAAUUGGAGUCGCCGAAAAUGGACAGCAGCAACAAUCAACGAUGUCCGGCCAUCGAGUGGCGCCUGGAAAUUGCAAUGUUUGUGCCGAGGAUCUCCAACUCAUCCGCUGCUGCGGGCCCCUGGCUUCUCCAUGCCCUGACAUCCUGGCUGACUAGCUGGCUGACUGACUGCCGGACUGCCUGCAUUCGUCCUGGCUGUCCGGCUGCUUGGGUAUCCGCGUCCACAUCCGGCUGAUGUGCAAAUCAAAUAACAAAUGAUUGUCUCUGCCAAACUGGGCGACUCGACUCGUGACUGUGAUUAAGGCCAGGCGGGUGGAAGUGAGCCCCUGCUCUGGAGCUCCGGUGCUGUGGACUCCAUGGACCUGUCCAUCUGCCAAAUGAAUAUUCCACAUUUUCCCAUUCCUUCCGCACCCGCAUAUUUUUCUAUGCGCAAUCACAACAGAUUGUGUGUUGGCUUUUGUCGAGUUAAAUUGAAUCAAGCUUAACUGGCAUAUAGUUUUUGUGGAAUAGAAAUGGAAAGAAAACUUGAUUUUCGUACGUUUUCCCAGACUGACGGCAGGUGUGAUAAGAUAAGCUGAAUAUUCUUUUGUAAUUAUUUUGUUUAAGCCCCGGAAACCUCGAUAUGGAUAAAUUUUUAAAAAAAUAAACGUUCAGAGAAUCUGCUCAGUCGAGCUCAUAAAACCCUCAUCAAGCAAAGAGCUAAGUCGCAAAAAUAUAACAAAAGCACCAACAUCACCAGAGAUAAAAAAUGCAAU